rnacentral:tRNA from 1 species
GGGUCCAUAGCUCAGCCUGGCUAGAGCACUGGUCUUAUAAGCCAGUGGUCGCCGGUUCAAAUCCGGUUGGGCCCA